rnacentral:rRNA from 1 species
CCUACGGGCAGCAGCAGUGAGGAAUAUUGGUCAAUGGCCGAGAGUCUGAACCAGCCAAGUCGCGUGAGGGAAGAAUGUCCUAUGGAUUGUAAACCUCUUUUGUCAGGGAGCAAAGUCACCCACGUGUGGGUGUUGGCGAGUACCUGACGAAAAAGCAUCGGCUAACUCCGUGCCAGCAGCCGCGGUAAUACGGAGGAUGCGAGCGUUAUCCGGAUUUAUUGGGUUUAAAGGGUGCGUAGGCGGGUUAUCAAGUCAGCGGUAAAAUCGUGGAGCUCAACUCCAUCCAGCCGUUGAAACUGAUGAUCUUGAGUGGGCGAGAAGUAUGCGGAAGGCGUGGUGUAGCGGUGAAAUGCAUAGAUAUCACGCAGAACUCCGAUUGCGAAGGCAGCAUACCGGCGCCCGACUGACGCUGAAGCACGAAAGCGUGGGUAUCGAACAGGAUUAGAUACCCUAGUAGUC